ensembl:lncRNA
UCUUGAUCUACUAGAUUCGGAUUAAUAAACGACAGUAAAAGAGCAGCAGCCCACUCUAAGAACUGAAUGUACUAUUUGUACCCAGACACAGAUUGACUGUAUUCUCCCCAGUCUGCCACCUACACACACACACACACACACACACACACACACACACACACAACCCCAGCUUUAUCUGGGUUACUGAUGUGACUGUAGGAAACUUGCAUCUGAACUAAAGCGUAGGGUUCAACCGGUUCUCAGUAUCAUCAGCACGCCCGAUGGGUUUAUAAAAUCCAGACUGCAUGCACAUGAAGCCUGACUCAUUUCUUGGUUCAUGUUAGGACAAGGUGUCUUCCCCCCCCACCAUUAUCAUAAUACCACGCAUCUGUGAUAGAUCAGGACUGUCUAGGGAGCUCCAGAGCAGUUGCAUGCAUGCAUGGCACAGUCCUAAAUUUAGACACUGAGAUGAAGUCAUACAUACGGGCAUCGACGGAGACGUGUCUCCUUUGCUUUUAGACUGAUUUCAGCAUCGUGCAUUUCAAAGAGGUUGUUUCUUCAACAUGACACCAACAGGAGCAAUGGGGGAUCCCAUUAGAGCUGACGGCUGUGUUCCUGAACCCGGUGGCACGGAGAGGAACGACCACGAAAGAUCGACAUUCCUUCUGUCUGAUGCAGGAUAGAGAACGGCCCUCUGGGGAAAUUGUAUCCUCAUGUUUAUUCUUUUUUAUUUCCUAAAUCAUGUAUAUCUUUAUUUUUUAUGGUUAUGGCGUGCGGUACAGAUGAAUUAUGACGCUGGGGCUGUUUCCCCAUCUAUGUGAUUAAUAACAUUUUAGAAAAACCUGGGACUCUAAGCCUUGAUGAUAUGUUCUUCGGAGGGGGCGGCAGUAAAGACACACAGCACCUCAAGACAGACUGGAGCUUCACUAAAGACCCACAUGUCUGUGUUUGUAAACUCCAAAGGGGCCCUCGGGGGUCCGGCGGCAGCGGCACGUCUUCCACUUGUCCACUUCAACUUCACACGGCUGGACUCUUUCAUACCUCUGUGAACAAACCCACCGAGAAAUGUUAAUGAUGUUCUGUAUUGACAUGCAAUGUGACAAACGCCACGUGUUUUUAACAACAUCAGGGUUCCCACAUGGACAAACAGAACUGGUGUCUUCACUCAAAAAUUGGUGAAGAAACUAUUUCUACACAUAAAGAAAUUUCACAAAAAAAAAAAAAAAAAAUAUUUUCAAUCAGAAAUUAAAAACAUUUUUACAAAAAAAAAAAAAAGAAUUGACAAAUUUAAAUCAGAAAUUAAAUGUCACCCAAAAAUUGGUGUAGAAACAAUUUUCAAUCAUAAACUAAUUCCACCAAAAAAAAAAAAAAAAAUGUAGAAACAAUUUUCAGUCAGAAAUUGGAAGUCAAUUUCAAAAGUAAUUACAAAUAAUUAAAAGGCCGAAAAAGUAUAUUCUUGCAAAACAUACUCAUAUAAUCUGUUUUAUUUGGAACUUUGAUUUUAUAUUUCUUAUUUCUUAACAGUGCAUGGUCAAAUAUCAGUGAAUCCUAAGAUUGUGAUAGCUCUGGAAAGUACAUGAAAAUGUAUAGAAUUGUGUUAAAGUCAUGGAAAGUGAAUAUGAUUUCUGUUUUUUGAGUUAUGCGCUGCUCUUAAUUAUUUAAUCGUCUAGAAAUUGUUCCAUAACGUGAUUUUUGAAACUGAUCAGUUGCACUGAAGCAAUGCGACACAUACCUUACAGUAUUUACUAAUUGCCAAACUUACAUUUUUUGAUUAUGUAUAACCCCGCAGCAUAAAAUCAGUCAUAAGGGUCAAUUUUUUCAAAACUGAGAUUUAUGCAUCAUCUGAAAGCUGAAUAAAUAAUCUCUCCAUUGAUGUAUGGUUUGUUAGGAGGACAAUAUUUGUCUGAGAUACAACUAUUUGAAAAUCUGGAAUCUGAGGGAGCAAAAAAAUCUAAAUAUUGAGAAAAUCAUCUUUAAAGUUGUUCAAAUGAAGUUCUUAACAAUGCAUAUUACUAAUCAAAAAUUAAGUUUUGAUAUAUUUACAGUAGGACAUUUACUAAAUAUCUUCAUGGAACAUGAUCUUUACUUAAUAUGCUAAUGAUUUUUGGUAUAAAAGAAAAAUCUAUAAUUUUGACCCAUACAAUGUAUUGUUGUCUAUUGCUACAAAUACACCCCAGAGACUUGAUUUUGUGCUCCAGGGACACAUAUGCAACAUUUAUUUACUUAAAAUUCUCUAAAAAGCAUUCAAAACCAAAACUAGCCCUUCUGUUAGCCCAGGGCCGUUUCGACAGUAUCGGCAAAUAUAUCAAUCUAUCACUACCAAAACACACUCACAGAAGCACACUUUGACGUCCCUCUCGGAUCCAUCCAUACGUCUUCAUCACUAAACCAUGUCAGCGUCACUCAAUACUCACACCUUACAGUAUUUACUAAGGCUAAGAGUCCCCACUUCUCAUGCAGUUACUAAAAAAAAGCUACAGAGUUCAUCUUUUUUGUUUCAUUUUUUUUUUUAGAAUAUGCUUGUUAAGUUUGCUUUUUAACUUUUUUUGUUGCUUUGCCAGUAUAUUAAAGUGUAAUCAUGUACGUUGUGAUUUAGAAAUAGCUGUAGAGAUGCAUUGUUUCCUUGUGGUAAGUGACUGAGAUGCUGCCACGGAUUUGAGACACUGAUGAAUGGUGCUAUUUUGGACUUUAAUCUGCUCCUUGGGUAAGGAAGCUCAGAUGGGUUUGAUUUUAUAUUUUCAUGUUCGGAGGAGGUGUUGGUUCUUUGUUGUCUGGUUGUCGUAACUCGGAUCGGAUCGACUUUACUCCCCCUUGUUGUUUCUGUGUGGCUUUCUCAUUGGACAGAAAAACAGAUUCGCCGAAGAGUUGGUGUUUGGUUUAGUUUUUUUUACUCCAAGAGGAUUACUUGCAAAAUUCUCAAACUAUAGACAGUCGGAGCAAUCACAAAACUGCAAUUCUCAACACUAUUUACCCUUUAAUGUAAAGGUUUAAUUCGAGGAGUAGUUACAGUUCCUGGCACUUUAGUCACUCUCAUACUUGCAGGACGGGGUAGCUUACGCAGCCGAUCUCACGUUUUUGUUCAGCGACGAACUUCUAAUAAAUCAAGGACACAUUCAUAUGUGUGAAACUCUGAGGAUGCAGCCGCUGUUGUAUUUUGCUGUGCACGGUCCCAGGUGACGGUGGUCUACAUAGUGUACAUAUACAAGGCAGCUGAGGUCAGAUUUAUCAUUCCACAGAAGUCUAACAAGGACAUAAACACUCAUCCGUUUAGCACACGGGGUCCUUCGAUGUAUUUUCAAAGGCAAAACAUGUAGCAGCAAAACCAACGCAGACGGUUUUGUGCAUGAGUUUCCUGGAUUUUAGGAUGAGAACCAAAAGUUUUAUAUUUAUUCAUUUAAGCAGCACAGUAUCGUCACUCGGUAUUUGCAGUUUUGUCUUUGCUUCCAGUUCACAUGCGUUUAAAAAUCCCAAUUCAGAGUCCGACUGGAAAGCCCACGUUAGUUUCUUAGUCUUCCAUUUAUUUUCCCACGACUCCCAGCUUGCUCUAGUCUCUCCUUUAGUGCUUACUGAUCGCAUGCUCUCUGCUCUUCCUUCUGUUUCUGAUCUGAAUGAUUCUCCUCGCGUUUCUUCUCAUAGAUUAGAUAUGCCAACUGUGUUGUAAAUAGCCAGUGAAUAGCUUAUAGUAUGUUGAAUUAUUCUGUAAUAACUGUGUAUGAUUGGUGUACAAAACAUGAAGUCUAGCCUUGUCAUCUUUAUAAGGAUGCACAGGUAUAUAUCAUGUUAUUUUGCAACUUAAGCUGUAGUUGAAUAAAUAUGCAAGCUCUCGUUAUUCUCAGUGUUGUUUAUUGCUCUUGUAAUUCAAAUCUUGCAUUAACGUUGAAAAGUUUUUUUUUUUUAAGUAGGAUGCAUUAAAUUGAUCAAAAGUGACUGUGAAAACAUUUAUAAUGUUUUUGUUUUAAUAAAUGCAUUAUUCUUCUGUGAAUUCUGAAAAAUAAAAUGCAUCAGUUUCCACAAAAAUAUUCAGCAGCACAACUGUUUUCAACAUUGAUAAUAAUCAGAAAUGUUACAUAUUAGAAUGAUUUCUGAAGAUCAUGUGACACUGAAGACUGGAGUAAAAUAUUUCACUAUUUUUCAGUUUUUACUGUAUUUAAAAAAAUAAAAAAUAAAUACAGCCUUGGUGAAUAGAAAAGCCUUCUUUAAGAAACAUUUUAACAUCUUAACGACCCCCAAGCUUUGAAACAGAAAUAAAUUAUAUUCAACAAUAUAUUCACAUAGAAAACAGCUAUUUUAAAUUGCAACAAUAUUACUGUUUUUAGUGUAUUUUCUCAAAUAAAAACUACCCUGUAUUUAAUCAAAUAAAUGCACUCUUUGUGAGCAAUAAGAGACUUUUUAAAAAAAAAAUGUGUUAACUUUUUAACAGCAUGUGCACAUGGGAAAAUCUCACUUUUCAAUGCGCUUUCAGACUCUGUAUAUACAAUAAUAAUAAUUUACUGGCUAUUUUCAGAGUGUGUUUCCCGGUAAUCAAGAAAAAAAUGUAAUUUAGUCACUCGUUUGCUUCAACACACCCAUUUUAGUUCAAGUUUGUUCCCCUCAUUCAUUUAAU